rnacentral:rRNA from 1 species
AUGAACGCUGGCGGCGUGCCUAAUACAUGCAAGUCGAGCGAACAGACGAGGAGCUUGCUCCUCUGACGUUAGCGGCGGACGGGUGAGUAACACGUGGAUAACCUACCUAUAAGACUGGGAUAACUUCGGGAAACCGGAGCUAAUACCGGAUAAUAUAUUGAACCGCAUGGUUCAAUAGUGAAAGACGGUUUUGCUGUCACUUAUAGAUGGAUCCGCGCCGCAUUAGCUAGUUGGUAAGGUAACGGCUUACCAAGGCAACGAUGCGCAGCCGACCUGAGAGGGUGAUCGGCCACACUGGAACUGAGACACGGUCCAGACUCCUACGGGAGGCAGCAGUAGGGAAUCUUCCGCAAUGGGCGAAAGCCUGACGGAGCAACGCCGCGUGAGUGAUGAAGGUCUUCGGAUCGUAAAACUCUGUUAUUAGGGAAGAACAAAUGUGUAAGUAACUAUGCUCGUCUUGACGGUACCUAAUCAGAAAGCCACGGCUAACUACGUG